ensembl:snRNA U6 U6 spliceosomal RNA
AUAUUCCAUUUAGAAGCAUAGAUAUAAAAUUGAAACUACACAGAGAAGGUUACCAUAGCCAGUGCACAACAAUGACAGGCAAAUUCAUCAAAUGUUCCAUAUUUUU